rnacentral:rRNA from 1 species
AUUGAACGCUGGCGGCAGGCCUAACACAUGCAAGUCGAGCGGAUGAAGGGAGCUUGCUCCUGGAUUCAGCGGCGGACGGGUGAGUAAUGCCUAGGAAUCUGCCUGGUAGUGGGGGAUAACGUCCGGAAACGGGCGCUAAUACCGCAUACGUCCUGAGGGAGAAAGUGGGGGAUCUUCGGACCUCACGCUAUCAGAUGAGCCUAGGUCGGAUUAGCUAGUUGGUGGGGUAAAGGCCUACCAAGGCGACGAUCCGUAACUGGUCUGAGAGGAUGAUCAGUCACACUGGAACUGAGCCACGGUCCAGCCCCCUCGGGAGGGCAGAAGUGGGGAUUAUUGGCCAAGGGGCGAAACCCUGAUCCAGCCAUCCCGCGUGGGUGAAGAAGGUUUUCGGUUUUUAAAGCCUUUUUGUUGGGAAAGAAGGGCAGAAGUUUAAUACCUUGCUGUUUUGACGUUCCAAAAAGAAUAAGCCCCGGCUAACUUCGUC